UUGGUACAUUUUUUUUAGCCAAUUGUAUUACCAAAUAUAAGCAUUUGAAGCUCAUUUUCACUUACAAACUUAGGAAGCUCCUCAACAUAAAAUCUAUUAAUACACAAUCCAAAUAAGAUUAUAAUGCGCUACAUGUCUGUCCAUUCUCCAACUUACAACCAUCAUUAAAACUAUAACUGACUCUGCUACACUUUAACGGAUGGUAUUAUCUUACAAACAGAAUAAAUCGUCUCUUGUUUUCAUUGUUAAGAGAACAACCUAUCUUAGAAAGCCAUGACUUCCCAGUAAGAUAAAAGUUCGUCAAACAAAUUAGCAUCAGCACACAAAAUGGUUGUCAUCCUGCCAUGCCAUAGUCCUCUGCCUGAUCAUAAAGAUUGUAGCUUCCCGGUACUCCCAUCUUUCCAGUUAGGUGGUCGUCUCCUGCAUCAAAUGAUUUGGUAACAAACAAAAUCACCUAUUCAAAGUUCAUAUUCACACCCCACACCAAGUCACUUUAAAAGAACGGGCAGUAUUCAUCCGGACCUAACGACUACAUCUAAUAGACACCAUUAUAUAUCACUAUCAAUAAAUCCUUUUAAAAAUGUAAAAGGGAACAUUUGAAAGGAGUUUAGUUCUGUGUAUUUUCUACUAAUAAUACAAUAACACUAUUCAAACCUAGCAUAAUUGUUGAAUGCAUACACUAUAUAACAAGUUCAGAUAUGGUGAGGCAGUAAAACAAUAAGGGAAAGGCCCUAGGUAGAGUCAACAGAGAAGGACAUGCUAUCCAUGGUUUCAGCUGAAAGUAUGUUUUAUGAAAGAAGAAUAGGAUUCCAGAAAGUCUUCCUCAGCUGGCCUGAGUUGCUAGAUUCAUCGAUAAAAAUGAAAGUUUGAUAUCCAUGUAGUCUACAGAUACCUUUCAUCAUUACCUUAAAAGACAUAACAUGGAUGUGACAAAAUUUUAUCAAAAGGCAACUAUAUUAUUCUUUCACAAGGCACUGAAGGUGUUCUGAAACUGCUAACUUUUCCAUUUCUUGUUAUGGUUCUACUGAUUUUUUUAAUCUUUUAAGACCAUUUCUACUCUAAUCUGUGCCAUAACAUUACAACAUUAUAUUUUUAUGUUGAAAAGAAAAUGAAAGAGUUAAAAUGUACGUACUUUGAUUUGGUAACACACCCAAGAAAUGCAAUUCAGAGCUUAUCUCAGGGCUCUGGAAGCACAGAUCGUCGGCCCUUGGAGGGUUUUGCUGGGAGUGAAAUAUUUCUGGUUUUGUCUUCUUCUCAUUCGGUGAGUCAACUUCUGUUUCCACUUCUGAUUCAGCAUUGUUAGAUGAGGCAACCAAUUGUUUUCUUUUUGAUCGUGCACGCCUGUUUUGGAACCAAUUAUACACAUUUGUUUCAGAAAUUUGUCCAUGCUGGCUGAGUUCAGAGGUUAUCUCUUUAAUCUUUUGCUUGCUUGGAGUUCCAUUCCCCUGAUCAAAGAUACGUUCCAGAAUUUGAAGCUGCACAGGUGUCGGAGUCCAACGCUGUCUGGCAGUAAUUUUGUGUCCACCAGAAGCCAUUAAUGGAUCGCAGUACAGAUUUCCUAGCCUGCCUCCUGCAAGAUCUUGCUGGGCAGAGAGGGUCUUGUGCAUCUCAACAAGCUGCUCACAAAUGGUGGCAUAAACAGCAAUUUGCUUCCUAAGAGUUUCAAGUUGCUCAUCUGUCAUGACCUUGACGUACAGCAUUCCUCCAUUCCCAUUAUUCCCAUGAACACUGGUGAUAUUAUUUCCAUUUCUGUGUUCUCUCUGAUUCUGAUUUUCUUGCUGUUGCUGUUGAUUUUCUUGAUUAUUUUCCCACUCCAUUCUUACUCACUCAAACCAUGAACAGCCCUCUUCUCCUCCCUACUCUCUCUCAGAGAAACAGAGAAAACAAGAGAAAAGAAAAAGAAAAGAAAGUAAUGAGCAGUAGAGAAUGUGAAAGAACAGACAAAAGCUAUGGUGAAAGAACGUGAGAUUGCACUGCGAUGGCGGUCUGGUCAAAAAUAUCCUCCUCGGCGUACUUUAGCAUCUCCGUGCAUCUCGUUUUCG
rnacentral:misc_RNA from 1 species